CAGUCACAGACACACAUGACAUGACAUUACACGUCGUAACUUUCAACAAGUUACAUAAAAAGUUUAACAACGGAGAUCGGAUAACAAGUUAACUGUUUUAAAAAUGAAAUAGCCAAAUGGUCUAAUCCAAUAAUGCAAGCUCACAACCUAUGUCUUCUCUUCUGAAGAAAAAUCAUUUCUGUUGCAGAUUUUGCAUUUAGACCGAAUGAGAACCAUUUUGUUGCCCAUCGAAGGAUAAGGAAAAGGCCAACCCACCAACACGGUCAACAAGGUUCUUUGUUUGUUUACCCCUUGGCUGGUGAAAGAUUGUUGUGCAUCAAGAUAACCUGUGGCUGUUCCUUGUUGCUGGUGUCUUGUUACAGAAGUUGCAGGCAUCAGCAUUUUGAAUUUGACAUUUACAAUUUUCGUAAUGGUUUCGCGUAGUUGCUGUCCGCUGUGGUACGUUGUUGCAGCCUAUGCUGGUGAUAGAUCUUUCUGCAUCAAAUUCAAUUGGCUGUUCCUUGGUGCUGGUGUCGUGUUAAAGUUGCAUUAUUAUUUUAUUUAAUUGGCAUUGUGUCAAUGUAGUUUAGCGUUAUUAUGUUAAGAAGAAACAAAAAAGAAAUAUGGGGUGUCAAGGUCAAACAAAUAAUAAACAUGAUUUUGGGAUUGGGAAAGGAAAGUGGAGGAAUUUGGAGAGGGGAUAUUUCAAGUUCGGAUAAAAAAUCAGUAACCCUACCAAUCUAAUCUAUAACCCUACCAACAUAUCCACACCAAUUAAUCUCCAAGCCCCACUAACUUCAACCUUCCAAUUCUUCAAACCUCACAUACACCUACUCUCGAAUUUAUACCCUAAACCACAUAAACCAAUGUUAAACCCUAACAAUAUGAUGUCUGUAAUAAAUAAAACAUUUAAUACAUUAAA
rnacentral:lncRNA from 1 species